rfam:Triticum aestivum genome assembly, contig: Triticum_aestivum_CS42_TGACv1_scaffold_049359_1BS
CUAAUACUCCCUCCGUCCGGAAAUACUUGUCGAAGAAAUGGAUGAAUCUAGACGUAUUAUAGUUAUAGGUGCACCCAAUUUUAUCCAUCUUUCCGACAAGUAUUUUCGGACGGAGGGAGUAUGUG